GGAGAGAUGUCCGAGUGGUUUAAGGAAGCAGUCUUGAAAACUGCCGUGCGGCAACGCACCGUGGGUUCGAAUCCCACUCUCUCCGCCA
rnacentral:tRNA from 12 species